rnacentral:rRNA from 1 species
AGAGGGUGAGAAUCCCGUACGGGACCGGCGGCCAACCCCAUGUGAAACCCCUUCGACGAGUCGAGUUGUUUGGGAAUGCAGCUCAAAUUGGGUGGUAAAUUUCAUCUAAAGCUAAAUACCGGCCAGAGACCGAUAGCGCACAAGUAGAGUGAUCGAAAGAUGAAAAGCACUUUGGAAAGAGAGUCAAAAAGUACGUGAAAUUGUUGAAAGGGAAGCGCUUGCAACCAGACCUGUCCACCGGCGAUCAGCCUCCGUUCUCGGGGGUGCACUCGUCGGCGAUCAGRCCAGCAUCGGUCUGGGCGGUCGGAUAAGGGCCUUGGGAAUGUAGCUCCCUCCGGGGAGUCUUAGAGCCCUCGGUGUAAUGCGGCCAGCUCGGACCGAGGAUCGCGCUUCGGCUAGGAUGCUGRCGUAAUGGUUGUAAGCGACCCGUCUUGAMACACGGACCAAGGAGUCUAACAUCUAUGCAAGUGUUUGGGUGUCAAACCCAUACGCGUAAUGAAAGUGAACGGAGGUGAGAACCCUUUAGGGUGCAUUAUCGACCGAUCCAGAUGUCUUCGGAUGGAUUUGAGUACGAGCAUAGCUGUUGGGACCCGAAAGAUGGUGAACUAUGCCUGAAUAGGGUGAAGCCAGAGGAAACUCUGGUGG